CUACAAGCGGGCGAGCUCUAUUUAUGGACAGCAACAUCCGUAAAACGCUUUCUCAGAAACUUCCUGAUUGGCCCUUUCAGUAGCCAAUCACAUUCGAGAGAGACGUGUAGCGCAGCAAGAGCAUCUUCCAACAUGGCGUCUGUAUCCUCGGGAUUCCCUUUCAACCUGCCGGUUGCAUCUCUGUUACUGAUCCUGCUGCUAUGCCUGCAUUCGGGGGGGAGGCCAGAAGAAGAAAGAGGUAACGGCGUUUCUACAUAAACACGUUUCAAAAGCAUAACAGUAUGAUUAUGCGGCGUAAUUUGGACCAAGGUGCAGCAGAGCGAUAGGCUACCUUUACCGUCUCCAGAAUGAUGCU
rnacentral:lncRNA from 13 species